rnacentral:rRNA from 1 species
AGGCGUGAUGACGAGGCACUACGGUGCUGAAGCAACAAAUGCCCUGCUUCCAGGAAAAGCCUCUAAGCAUCAGGUAACAUCAAAUCGUACCCCAAACCGACACAGGUGGUCAGGUAGAGAAUACCAAGGCGCUUGAGAGAACUCGGGUGAAGGAACUAGGCAAAAUGGUGCCGUAACUUCGGGAGAAGGCACGCUGAUAUGUAGGUGAAGCGACUUGCUCGUGGAGCUGAAAUCAGUCGAAGAUACCAGCUGGCUGCAACUGUUUAUUAAAAACACAGCACUGUGCAAACACGAAAGUGGACGUAUACGGUGUGACGCCUGCCCGGUGCCGGAAGGUUAAUUGAUGGGGUUAGCGGUAACGCGAAGCUCUUGAUCGAAGCCCCGGUAAACGGCGGCCGUAACUAUAACGGUCCUAAGGUAGCGAAAUUCCUUGUCGGGUAAGUUCCGACCUGCACGAAUGGCGUAAUGAUGGCCAGGCUGUCUCCACCCGAGACUCAGUGAAAUUGAACUCGCUGUGAAGAUGCAGUGUACCCGCGGCAAGACGGAAAGACCCCGUGAACCUUUACUAUAGCUUGACACUGAACAUUGAGCCUUGAUGUGUAGGAUAGGUGGGAGGCUUUGAAGUGUGGACGCCAGUCUGCAUGGAGCCGACCUUGAAAUACCACCCUUUAAUGUUUGAUGUUCUAACGUAGGCCCCUUAUCGGGGUUGCGGACAGUGUCUGGUGGGUAGUUUGACUGGGGCGGUCUCCUCCUAAAGAGUAACGGAGGAGCACGAAGGUUGGCUAAUCCUGGUCGGACAUCAGGAGGUUAGUGCAAUGGCAUAAGCCAGCUUGACUGCGAGCGUGACGGCGCGAGCAGGUGCGAAAGCAGGUCAUAGUGAUCCGGUGGUUCUGAAUGGAAGGGCCAUCGCUCAACGGAUAAAAGGUACUCCGGGGAUAACAGGCUGAUACCGCCCAAGAGUUCAUAUCGACGGCGGUGUUUGGCACCUCGAUGUCGGCUCAUCACAUCCUGGGGCUGAAGUAGGUCCCAAGGGUAUGGCUGUUCGCCAUUUAAAGUGGUACGCGAGCUGGGUUUAGAACGUCGUGAGACAGUUCGGUCCCUAUCUGCCGUGGGCGCUGGAGAACUGAGGGGGGCUGCUCCUAGUACGAGAGGACCGGAGUGGACGCAUCACUGGUGUUCGGGUUGUCAUGCCAAUGGCACUGCCCGGUAGCUAAAUGCGGAAGAGAUAAGUGCUGAAAGCAUCUAAGCACGAAACUUGCCCCGAGAUGAGUUCUCCCUGACCCUUUAAGGGUCCUGAAGGAACGUUGAAGACGACGACGUUGAUAGGCCGGGUGUGUAAGCGCAGCGAUGCGUUGAGCUAACCGGUACUAAUGAACCGUGAGG